UGUGACUCACCCCGUAUUGUUCUGCCCUCUCCCAGCUUGGGCCUUCCGGUGUCACUGCUGAUCCCUUGGCUGGCAAGUACCACAACCUUGUUCGACUGCUGGUUUUCACAUAGCACGUCCCGCCACCCGGCAUGGAUUGUCAGUUCCAUGGACGCUAGGAUUGCAACUUAGGGUCGCUGCAGAGCUGGGACAAACACCUGGGCAUCUGCAUUCUAACAUCCAUAGCUUCACUACGGCGUCUAAGCAGAUCCUGGCAAGGACUAUGAGAUGACCUUGGAGAAACACCACCAAGUGACUAGCAGAGCGGCUCAGCACACAGCAGGUGCUUCAUAAUCGGUAGCCGGAGACGGCAUAUCGUGGUGGAAAGAUUAUGGACGCAGGGGUCCUUUGAAUGGAUGCUCAGAGUGGACGUGUUUUUGAGAGUUGAAGGGCCUGGAUAAGCGUCCUGUAUAUCUGAUUUCAAUUUGGAAUGUAAUCAGACUCCCAGGGAAAUUCUUUCAAAGCUGCCUAGAGGCCCAUUCUAUACUCUGAAGCGACUUGUGGGCUCUACAUUUUGAAAAACUGCAUCGGGAGCCAUCUGCCCUUAUUGAGAACCCACUGUAUCCUCCACGCAUGGGGCACUAUGGACAAGGAAGCCCAUGGUCCCAGUCACGCAUUACAACAGCCAGUUGAGUAGGUGAAUUGAAACACAUGAUGUCAACUAAGGCCAGUUCACUUUCGGAGAGGGCUAGUGACAGCGGUAUGACAGCAUCCCUCCUCUGGGGGGAGGGAAGGAGAUGCUACUUGGGUGUGAACCUCUUGGACGUGGAGUCAGCAAACUUGGUUCUGAGUCUCUGCGCCCUUGACCUGUCAGCAGACUCGUAUCCUCUGUGAAUGUCUGUCUCCUC